UUCUUCGGGGCAGGGUGAAAUUCCCUAUCGGCGGUAUAGUCCGCAACUCCUUUUUAUAGGACUGAAUUGGUGUAAUUCCAAUACCGACAGUUAUAGUCUGGAUGGUAGAAGA
rnacentral:ncRNA from 1 species